UUUUUAUCUUUGCAAUGUUUUUAUAAUAUUAAUAUAUCACAUUUUAAUAAUAUUUUAGGUGAACAAUGGUCCCACUACAGAAAACUCAUCAGGUCAUCAUUUUGUAAGGAGAUGUUAAAUCAAUAUGCUGUUAUACAAAGUGAAAAAGCUGAAAUCUUAAUAACGUGUCUCAAAAGGCAAAUAGAGGAAAAGCCAGGAGAAGCUAUUGAUAUUUGCCCAUUCAUGUUCAAUUGUACUCUUGAUAUUAUCUGCGAUUUUUUAUUCAACUAAAGAAAAGUGUGACAAAAAGGCCCGUUUUUACAUCGUUUGUUAUUAAAUCAAUGUUAUGAUUGAAGUGAGGAAUAGCCAUGCGUUUUGAUGUACAAAAAAAUAUGUAAACAUACUAUGGAUCUCGAGCAUUAGCAACUGGAUGAGGAAAGCCGAUUCAAACAUGUCCGUUGCUAUAUCACAUAUUUGGUUUGAUUCUGUCCAUGGGGAAAUUUUCCAAACUGAGAAAUCACCACCUUUCUUAAUAAUCAUCAGUCCAUGAUUAACGUAACACAGCUUACGACCAAUCCGGCCGUUUACGACCGCAUUUGACAUAUAUGGGGUUAAGUAUCCCAAAAUACACCCGAGAAUACUAAAAUAAUGUCUUGGUGAUAUUAUGAGUAUCAGAUCGAUGGCAAAUCGUACUAUUUUAGUACACAAUGUUUGGUAAACAAUAAUACAUGGAAUAAUACGCACAUAUCAAGAGUUAGCCAGGCAACGGCGAGUUCCAAGGAAAAAGCUUACGAAAUUAUGAAAGAAUUGGAUGUCUGUCAACGAUGUCCUUAUGAUUUUUGAAGGAUUCACAGGCUACUCAUCAGAUGAUGACUCAUUAUUUCAUCCUGUUUGAAAUUCAAGGAACUUAACAAGGAUAAAAUGAUACAUGCGUAUCAUGUAUGUAAAACGGAA